AUAAGUGGCGGACGGGUGAGUAACGCGUGGGAAUCUGCCUACUAGCGGGGGAUAGCCCGGAGAAAUCCGGAUUAAUACCGCAUACGCCCUACGGGGGAAAGCUGGGGAUCUUCGGACCUGGCACUAGUAGAUGAGCCCGCGUUGGAUUAGCUUGUUGGUGGGGUAAUGGCCUACCAAGGCAACGAUCCAUAGCUGUUCUGAGAGGAAGAUCAGCCACACUGGGACUGAGACACGGCCCAG
rnacentral:rRNA from 1 species